rnacentral:rRNA from 1 species
AAUGAACGCUGGCGGCAUGCCUUACACAUGCAAGUCGAACGGCAGCAUGACCUAGCUUGCUAGGUUGAUGGCGAGUGGCGAACGGGUGAGUAAUGCAUCGGAACGUGCCUUUUAGUGGGGGAUAACGUAGCGAAAGUUACGCUAAUACCGCAUAUUCUCUGAGGAGGAAAGCAGGGGACCUUCGGGCCUUGCGCUAGAAGAGCGGCCGAUGUCGGAUUAGCUAGUUGGUGAGGUAAAGGCUCACCAAGGCAACGAUCCGUAGCGGGUCUGGGAGGAUGAUCCGCCACACUGGGACUGAGACACGGCCCAGACUCCUACGGGAGGCAGCAGUGGGGAAUUUUGGACAAUGGGCGCAAGCCUGAUCCAGCCAUGCCGCGUGAGUGAAGAAGGCCUUCGGGUUGUAAAGCUCUUUCGGCUGGGAAGAAAUCGCACCCUCUAAUACAGGGUGUGGAUGACGGUACCAGCAUAAGAAGCACCGGCUAACUACGUG